rnacentral:rRNA from 1 species
AGGGAAUCUUCGGCAAUGGACGGAAGUCUGACCGAGCAACGCCGCGUGAGUGAAGAAGGUUUUCGGAUCGUAAAGCUCUGUUGUAAGAGAAGAACGAGUGUGAGAGUGGAAAGUUCACACUGUGACGGUAUCUUACCAGAAAGGGACGGCUAACUACGUGCCAGCAGCCGCGGUAAUACGUAGGUCCCGAGCGUUGUCCGGAUUUAUUGGGCGUAAAGCGAGCGCAGGCGGUUAGAUAAGUCUGAAGUUAAAGGCUGUGGCUUAACCAUAGUAGGCUUUGGAAACUGUUUAACUUGAGUUCAAGAGGGGAGAGUGGAAUUCCAUGUGUAGCGGUGAAAUGCGUAGAUAUAUGGAGGAACACCGGUGGCGAAAGCGGCUCUCUGGCUUGUAACUGACGCCGAGGCUCGAAAGCGUGGGGAGCAAACAGGAUUAGAUACCCUGGUAGUCCACGCCGUAAACGAUGAGUGCUAGGUGUUAGACCCUUUCCGGGGUUUAGUGCCGUAGCUAACGCAUUAAGCACUCCGCCUGGGGAGUACGACCGCAAGGUUG